rnacentral:rRNA from 1 species
AAAGGAAUAGACGGGGACCCGCACAAGCGGUGGAGCAUGUGGUUUAAUUCGAAGCAACGCGAAGAACCUUACCAGGUCUUGACAUCUCUUGCAUAUCUUAGAGAUAAGAGAAACCCUUCGGGGCAAGAAGACAGGUGGUGCAUGGUUGUCGUCAGCUCGUGUCGUGAGAUGUUGGGUUAAGUCCCGCAACGAGCGCAACCCUUAUAACUAGUUGCCAGCAUUCAGAUGGGGACUCUAGUUAGACUGCCGGUGACAAACCGGAGGAAGGUGGGGAUGACGUCAAAUCAUCAUGCCCCUUAUGACCUGGGCUACACACGUGCUACAAUGGAUGGUACAACGAGUCGCUAACUCGCAAGAGCAUGCCAAUCUCUAAAAGCCAUUCUCAGUUCGGAUUGUAGUCUGCAACUCGACUACAUGAAGCCGGAAUCGCUAGUAAUCGCGGAUCAGCACGCCGCGGUGAAUACGUUCCCGGGUCUUGUACACACCGCCCGU